AACAUCGCGCACCUGCGGGAACCUGCGGAAGGAUCAUUAUCGAGUGUAACUGACCCCCUAAAAAAGGGUAGUACCUCCCGUCCUUUGCAGGCCCCCUUUUUAUGGGGGGCUUUUUUUAAGACUUUCUGCUUCGGCGGGGUUACUCCCGCCGGAACACCCUCAAAAAACUCUCAAAAAAACCGUUCAGUCCGAGAACUUUUUAAAAAUAUAAAAAAAAACUUUCAACAACGGAUCUCAGAU
rnacentral:misc_RNA from 1 species